AUUGAACGCUGGCGGCAUGCCUUACACAUGCAAGUCGAACGGCAGCACGGGGCAACCUGGUGGCGAGUGGCGAACGGGUGAGUAAUGCAUCGGAACGUACCUUUCAGUGGGGGAUAACGUAGCGAAAGUUACGCUAAUACCGCAUAUUCUGUGAGCAGGAAAGCAGGGGAUCGCAAGACCUUGCGCUGAUUGAGCGGCCGAUGUCAGAUUAGCUAGUUGGUGAGGUAAAGGCUCACCAAGGCGACGAUCUGUAGCGGGUCUGAGAGGAUGAUCCGCCACACUGGAACUGAGACACGGUCCAGACUCCUACGGGAGGCAGCAGUGGGGAAUUUUGGACAAUGGGGGCAACCCUGAUCCUGCCGUGCCGCGUGAGUGAAGAAGGCCUUCGGGUUGUAAAGCUCUUUCGGCCGGGAAGAAAUCGCACGGGCUAAUACCCUGUGUGGAUGACGGUACCGGAAUAAGAAGCACCGGCUAACUACGUGCCAGCAGCCGCAGUAACAC
rnacentral:rRNA from 1 species